CACGAGGCCCAUUCUCGGUGUCCUUGCUGACCAUCUCUGUGACCUCAGGUGGUCUUCAGCAAGUACUGCAACUCCAGCGAUAUCAUGGACCUGUUCUGCAUCGCCACCGGCCUGCCUCGGAACACGACCAUCUCCCUCCUGACCACAGAUGAUGCCAUGGUCUCCAUCGACCCCACCAUGCCCGCCAACUCAGAACGCACUCCCUACAAAGUGAGACCAGUGGCUGUCAAGCAACUCUCUGAGAGAGAAGAAUUAAUCCAGAGCGUGCUGGCCCAGGUUGCAGACCAGUUCUCAAGAGCGUUUAAAAUCAAUGAACUGAAAGCCGAAGUUGCGAAUCACUUGGCAGUGCUAGAGAAGCGAGUAGAAUUGGAAGGACUGAAGGUGGUGGAGAUCGAGAAAUGCAAGAGUGACAUUAAAAAGAUGAGGGAGGAACUGGCAGCCAGAAGCAACAGGACCAACUGUCCCUGCAAGUAUAGUUUUUUGGAUACCAACAAGAAGUUGACACCUCCACGUGAUGUCCCCACUUACCCCAAGGUGUCUUUGAAAGGGCAGUCGGGAGAAAGUGCCCACCGUGCACAUCUGAGGUCACAGCCUUUGUCUCGUGUGAAAGCCCGCGGUGCCCCGGUAAUGCCGACCUCCUGUCCUUUCCAGUACCUGCUUUCUCCAGAGACCAUAGAAGCCCUGCGGAAGCCGACCUUCGACGUCUGGCUCUGGGAGCCCAACGAGAUGCUGAGCUGCCUGGAGCACAUGUACCAUGACCUCGGCCUGGUCAGGGACUUCAGCAUCAACCCCAUCACGCUCAAGAGGUGGCUGCUCUGCGUGCAUGACAACUACAGGAACAACCCUUUCCACAACUUCCGGCACUGCUUCUGCGUGACCCAGAUGAUGUACAGCAUGGUGUGGCUCUGCGGUCUCCAGGAGAAGUUUUCCCAAAUGGACAUCUUGAUCCUCAUGACAGCAGCCAUCUGCCACGAUCUGGAUCAUCCAGGAUACAACAACACGUACCAGAUCAACGCCCGGACAGAGCUGGCCGUCCGGUACAAUGACAUCUCCCCACUGGAGAACCACCACUGUGCUGUGGCCUUCCAGAUCCUCGCCCGGCCCGAGUGCAACAUCUUCUCCAAUGUGCCAUCUGAUGGCUUCAAGCAGAUCAGACAGGGAAUGAUCACACUGAUCUUGGCCACUGACAUGGCAAGGCAUGCUGAAAUUAUGGAUUCUUUCAAAGAGAAAAUGGAGAACUUCGACUACAGCAAUGAGGAGCACCUGACCCUGCUGAAGAUGAUCUUGAUAAAGUGCUGUGAUAUCUCCAAUGAGGUCCGUCCCAUGGAAGUUGCAGAACCGUGGGUGGACUGUUUAUUAGAAGAAUAUUUUAUGCAGAGCGACCGCGAGAAGGCGGAAGGCCUGCCUGUGGCCCCAUUCAUGGACCGAGACAAAGUGACCAAAGCCACAGCCCAAAUUGGCUUCAUCAAGUUUGUCCUGAUCCCAAUGUUUGAAACAGUGACCAAGAAUGGUGGGCUGUCUGUCUCUCCCAGCUCUUUCCCGUGGUUGAGGAUGCCAUGCUGCAGCCCCUGUGGGAAUCCAGAGAUCGUUAUGAGGAAUUGAAGCAAAUUGACGAUGCUGUGAAAGAGCUACAGAAGGAGACCGAGAGCUUGACAUGUGGCAACAGCGACAAGUCCAAGGAGAAGAGCAGAGAUGUGGGGAAGUGUGAAGCAGACUGUGCCUGAAGAAAGCGGGCGUGUGGGGCUGCCGCUCCUGGCUGGCCGGCUGAGCUGCGUGGGAUCCUCGGCGCAGGGAACAGUCGCUCUGGGCUCCUGACACCACAAGACCGCGUUUUCUAAGAACUGUUUUCUUCACUGAUACAAAAAAAGGAACUCAAGAUGCUGUACAGAAUUUUUAUUUUUAAACUGUCUUUUAAAUAAUAUAUUCUUAUACAGAAAUGAGUACUGUACUUUUUCUUUGCUAGAAUUGUGUAUCGCAGGCUGCCUCGGGCAAGUUCUCACAUGGCACUGAAGGAUACCGCUUUUCCCGCAGAUGUAUCUUAAAGUGACUGGCCAGUGCGCUGACGCGUGCGUCCGUGUAAAUUCAGCAUUAAAUGUCAGAAUGGUGCUGGACC